UGGGGAAUAUUGCACAAUGGGCGCAAGCCUGAUGCAGCCAUGCCGCGUGUGUGAAGAAGGCCUUCGGGUUGUAAAGCACUUUCAGCGAGGAGGAAGGUGGUGAGCUUAAUACGCUCAUCAAUUGACGUUACUCGCAGAAGAAGCACCGGCUAACUCCGUGCCAGCAGCCGCGGUAAUACGGAGGGUGCAAGCGUUAAUCGGAAUUACUGGGCGUAAAGCGCACGCAGGCGGUUUGUUAAGUCAGAUGUGAAAUCCCCGGGCUCAACCUGGGAACUGCAUUUGAAACUGGCAAGCUAGAGUCUCGUAGAGGGGGGUAGAAUUCCAGGUGUAGCGGUGAAAUGCGUAGAGAUCUGGAGGAAUACCGGUGGCGAAGGCGGCCCCCUGGACGAAGACUGACGCUCAGGUGCGAAAGCGUGGGGCAGCAAACAGGAUUAGAUACCCUGGUAGUCCACGCUGUAAACGAUGUCGAUUUUGGAGGUUGUGCCCCUUGAGGCGUGGNUUCCGGAGCUAACGCGUUAAAUCGACCGCCUGGGGAGUACGGCCGCAAGGUUAAAACUCAAAUGAAUUG
rnacentral:rRNA from 1 species